rnacentral:rRNA from 1 species
GAUGAACGCUGGCGGCGUGCCUAAUACAUGCAAGUCGAGCGAACGGACGAGAAGCUUGCUGCUCUGACGUUAGCGGCGGACGGGUGAGUAACAUGUGGAUAACCUACCUAUAAUACUGGGAUAACUUCGGGAAACCGGCGCUAAUACCGGAGAAUAUUUUGAACCGCAUGGUUCAAAAGUGAAAGACGGUGUUGCUGUAACUUAUAGAUGGAUCCGCGCUGCAUUAGCUAGUUGGUAAGGUAACGGCUUACGAAGGCAACUAUGCAUAGCCGAAGUGAGAGGCGGGUCGGCCACACUAGAACUGGAACACGGACCAGGGUCCUACGGGACGCAGCAGUAGCGUAUGUUCCGCAGAGGGCGGAAGCCUUACGGAGCAACGGCGCGUGAGUGAUGGCGAUCUUCGGAGCGUAAAACUCUGUUAUUGGGGAAGAACAUAUGUGUAAGUUACUGUGCACAUCGUGACGGUACCUAGUCAGGAAGCCACGGCUAACUACGUG